rnacentral:lncRNA from 1 species
CAGCUAAGUAUUCUACUCACGUUUAUAUUUUACUCAAAUAAUAAAAAGAUGCAUAAUCAUAAAAACCCAAAUAAAGAUUUUGUGCUCAUAUAUAUAUCUUUGCUUAGUUUGCUAAAUAAAUAAAUAAAUAAAGUUUGCUAUGAACCCUCAUGAUAAGUUCUCACAUGGAAAUAAUGAAUAGUUGCUCUGCCAUGACUAGUUCUCAAAAUUGAAAUCUCUCUCAAGUGUAGGCAUGACUGUUAUUAAUUAAGAUUUGCUCUAAACCUGAACUUGUGGGGAGAGUACUUAAUCUAAAGUCUAAGUCGUUAACGGAUAUGAUAUGCGAAGGUUGAGCUGCUGUUUAUCUGUUCCUAGAGAUGCUAGAAUUCUGGAGAAUUUUAUCUUUGAAAAUCUUUAAAAUGUUGCAUGAUGAGUUCCUGUAUGAUGAGAGUUUAAAUUCCUACCACAGCCAUAUAUACAUGCUUGUUAGACUAUGAACCACACAUUUACUUUUUACUGCUUAUGAGCAUUGAGUGUGGUCAAGCUUACCCUUAGGAGCUUGUCAUGUGGUUAAAUCAAGAUUCACUUGCACGUUCACUCACACAUGCUACUUCUACUCCAGAAGUACCAUCCACAUAUAUCCAUCCAUUUCCAUAUCCAGAACCACCCAAAAAUGUUCUACUCCUAAUCCGGGAGAGAAUAGCCAAAAACAUUCUCCUAUUUCUAUUUUUUCCUGUGAAAAAAAUGCUCAAGUUAUCUUGGUUACUACCACUUGCUAUAUUAUUUCAGGAGAUGAGUGCUCUAAAAAACUAAAGAAAAAAAGAAAGAAUGCGAGGAAAUAAAAAGGGGCAAGUGCCCGGAACCUCGAAAGAAAGAAACAGUGAGACGAGAGGUAAAAAUGGACAAGUGUCCGACAGUAGAAUUAGACUUUCACCACGUGAGAGAAAAAGAAAAUAUAGAGCAUCUCAUUUUCCUCAAAAAGUUUCAAAAGAGCAAGAAAGGUAUGUACCCCCUCAAAAGAGCAAAAGUAGAAUUAGACUUUCACCAUUGUUAUUACCAUCGUCACCAUACACCAUUCAUUCGCCACACAUGCACAUCUUGAUUUGACUUAUUGACUUGUUCUUCUGGAUCCAUGGUUUGACUAUGCAAUAAAUGUAUGUAUUAGCUAUCUCCUACCUAUGAGCUCCAGAUAUCAAAACCUUAUUAGAGUAGGGUGAGAGAGAAGGCAAUGCCACUAUGCCUCAUACAAAAAAUACCACAUACUUUGAGAGAAGGCAUAUACCAUUACUGCC